GAUGAACGCUGGCGGCGUGCCUAAUACAUGCAAGUCGAGCGAACAGACGAGGCUCUUGCUCCUCUGUCGUUAGCGGCGGACGUGUGUGAAACACGUGUAUCACCUACCUAUAAGUCUGGGAUCACUUCGGGAAACCGGCUCUAAUCCCGUAUAAUCUCUUGAACCGCAUUGUUCAAUAGUGAAAUACGGUUUUUCUGUCACUUCUAGCUGGAUCCGCGCGGCAUUAGCUGGUUGGUAAGGUCAAGGCUUACCAAGGCGAGCAGGCGUAGCCGACCGGAGAGGGGGGUAGGCCACACGAGAACGGAAACGGGGUCCAGAGUCCUGCGGGAGGCAGCAGUAGGGAAUCUUACGCAAUGGGCGAGAGCAUGACGGAGCAACGCCGCGUGAGUGAUGGAGGUGUUCGGAGCGUAAUACUCUGUUAUUAGGGAAGAACAAAUGUGGAAGGAGAUAUGCACGUAGUGACGGUACCGAAUCAGAAAGCAACGGCUAACUACGUG
rnacentral:rRNA from 1 species